CAGAAGCGUAAACACAUAAACAACUGAGCUGAUCGCGAGUCGACACGGAAACAUGGUAAAAACUGCAACUAGCUUACCAAUGAAAAGUAUUGGAGCACUUGUACCAGGGCGAUGGCAGUGGGACGAGAAGACACAAACCCUUCAAUUCUUCAGGUGUGGCGUUUAAUUUGCUCCAGGAAAAUGAAUCCCAUACCUGUGUGUUUUACCACUGUAAUGAGAAGCCAGCAACUCAAUAACUUUCUCUCUGCCCUACUGCUGUAUGUAUCCUGUUACUUUGAAAAAUAAGCGUUGGAAAGGAACCCUAACCCUCUAAUGCCUGAACAAAGUUUAAUGGAAAGGAAAGCAGUAGCUGAAGCAUGUGCCAAAGUUGAAAUAGCAAGAAAACAGCUUCAUUCUUGUCCUUGGACUUGGGAUGUCUCAGCAGCACCAUAUGGCAUGUGGAAAUGCCUAUACAACUUCUGUGCUUACGUGGUCUGGGUGACAUUCAGGCGUAAGGAUCUGAAAGGGAUUCAGGAAGAAGUGGGCAGGCUUCUCCGUUCGGAUACCUUCAAUCCUGCAAUCAGAGUAAGACAGGCUUCAGAGGAGCAAUCGAAAAAGAAAACCACUGUAACAGGAAAGGUCUGCCCUCCGGAGAGAAGGAAGCGUAAUCCAAAACGACCAGCAAUAAAAAGCAUAAUUAACCAAAGGUCCCCUGUGAUUGUGUCUCUCCUCCCAUCCCCGAAAGAGAAAUCGUAGUAUCUCUUCAAAUCCCACCAACUAGACCAAGACAAAACCAUGGAUAGCUGUGACAUUGAAGCUCUGGUAGAAGAACUCUCUGCUGCUUGAUCAUCUAAGUAAGUUUAAAAAAGCAGCAAAACAAAAAGGUUUUGUUAUCAUGUUAUC